AAUGCAAAUGAAGAUAUCUAGACAGGGACUCUGCACUCCAUUAACUUGGAGUUUGAUGAUUUGUCUUUGGGAACUUAUCUGAUGCUUU